AGUGGACGAGGAGUAAACUUGAGAAAUCACGGUUAGUAGAAGUCAAACGUUCCGGUCCAGCAUCCAAAGCCGAUCCCGACCUCAGAAACUUGGUGAUGUAUAUUUCUUUUGGUAAAAGUGGCACAUACCUAGGUAUUGUAUAGGUCAUUUUGGUUUUGGUUGUAAAGAUUGUCAUAAGAAUGUUUGGAUGCAUAUAUGGGAUGUUAAGUUAUAAAAUGGUAUUUUGAUAUGAAAAUUAUAAA